UACGGGGGGGUGCGAGCGUUGUCCGGAAUCACUGGGCGUAAAGGGCGCGUAGGUGGCGUGAUAAGGGUGUGGUGAAAGCCCGGGGCUCAACCCCGGGUCGGCCAUGCCGACUGUCAGGCUAGAGUGCUGUAGGGGCAGGCGGAAUUCCGAGUGUAGCGGUGGAAUGCGUAGAGAUCCGGAGGAAGACCGGUGGCGAAGGCGGCCUGCUGGGCAGUUACUGACACUGAGGCGCGACAGCGUGGGGAGCAAACAGG
rnacentral:rRNA from 1 species